AUAUAAAUGCGAGGCUAAGCAGAAAUGAGCAUUCAUUGUAUUGCUUUUGGUAGAGCUGGUACAUUUUAGAAGUAAUCUGCUCUAUCCUUAUGGUAUGCAGGGAUAAGAGGAUACUCAGUCUAUCAAGUAAAUAGAGGAAACACAGCAAUGGCAACUCUAUGGACUACACUUUGUGCUGUCUUCAUGGUAACUGCAGCCAUGUGUAAACCAGUUUGUCUACGUGAGGGAGAGUAUUCAUCCAAGUCAUCAGAGUCCAGUGAAUCCAAUUCAUCAGAAGAGACUGCCGGUCAUGUUGAGCCUUCACAGGAUCCCCUGCAACCAGCACUGACAGAGACAGGCAUGCCUAAUGCUAUAGAGGAAACUGACCCCCCGGACACUGCUGCCCUACCUCCCUCUGCACAAUCAGUCACCCUCAAUACUUCAGCCCUUCCAGACCCCGAGGACCCACAAUCCUCCACUGACGCUUUACAACUCAUGCCAGAUGAUCCUUCACAAACUGCCCUGGGCGUAGACAUUUCUCAGGAUAUGCCUGAUCCUGCACAGGACUCAAUCAAUGCUAACACUGUGCAUAUUGUACCUGAUAUGGAGGUCUCACGACACCCAGGGACAACAGAAACUGAUUUAAUCAUAGGUGUUGGUGGAACAACUCAACUGCAAGUCACCACUGCAUACCAAGGAUUCCCCCAGGGUGCUACUCCACCCUUUCCUCCAACAUAUCCACCAGUCUCCACAACCCCUCCCCUGCCAAUCCCCAUCAGCACCGCCCUGACUGGUGUUCCUGUUUGUUUCACUUUCCAGUUUGAGACUCCUGAGCCGGAUCCACCCAGAGGAGAUAGCAUUUGAUCCUAGAAACUGAUUCAUUUCUGGUUUGGCCCAUGUUUGUUGAAAAUAUUUGUAUUUGUCUUGUUACUCUAUCACUGUAAUACCAAGUCUAAACAUCCUACUACACUUGGCUGUUACUUUACAUUUCCUUUAUCAGUGGAAAUUUUGUUUUAAUGGUGCUAGCAUAAUGACUGCCACAUAAACACAAUGGAAAUGUAUUGUAGUCGAUUUGUAGAAUCUAUACCUUAGCUAACAACAUCAUGCAAUGAAAUGUUCUUAUCUCUUA